rnacentral:rRNA from 1 species
UGUCAAUUGAUGGCGGGCUGGAACCUCUCGGGGUUACAGCCUUGCUGAAUUAUUCACCCUUGUCUUUUGCGUACUUCUUGUUUCCUUGGUGGGUUCGCCCACCACUAGGACAAACAUAAACCUUUUGUAAUUGCAAUCAGCGUCAGUAACAAAUUAAUAAUUACAACUUUCAACAACGGAUCUCUUGGUUCUGGCAUCGAUGAAGAACGCAGCGAAAUGCGAUAAGUAGUGUGAAUUGCAGAAUUCAGUGAAUCAUCGAAUCUUUGAACGCACAUUGCGCCCUUUGGUAUUCCAAAGGGCAUGCCUGUUCGAGCGUCAUUUGUACCCUCAAGCUUUGCUUGGUGUUGGGCGUCUUGUCUCUAGCUUUGCUGGAGACUCGCCUUAAAGUAAUUGGCAGCCGGCCUACUGGUUUCGGAGCGCAGCACAAGUCGCACUCUCUAUCAGCAAAGGUCUAGCAUCCAUUAAGCCUUUUUUUCAACUUUUGACCUCGGAUCAGGUAGGGAUACCCGCUGAACUUAAGCAUAUCAAUAAGCGGAGGAAAG